ACACUGGUCGCCGUCAAGAGAUCUUUAUUGGAGGUAUCGAGCAGCACCACACAAGGAGAAGGAAGAGAAGAGAGAGAGAGGGCUGCUGCUGUGCUGGGUUUUAUAUCCCUUGGGCCUAGGUGGAUUGGGCUAGGGGCGGGCCCAAGGGAAGGCGGGAGAUGCUUCUUUCUGAUUGGCCCUCCUUUGGCGGGUUCAGACAGUGCCCGGUCAAGGAGGGGAGAAGAACCCGGAACCGGCCCCAUCUUAAGGUACCGCGCCAUUUUAAGGUACCCCAUGUUACCUAACACUCUCGCCUACUUUUUUGACUGUGAUAAUUACCACUACCCUAGAAAACACCUACCUCUAUUUCAGGAUGGACAACUUGAGUCCUAAAGCGAAUAUACUUUAGAGGGGACUGACGGCCUCCGCACUUGUCCUGCAGACUGUGCUCAUUCCUCUGCACCCCUGGGCUGUCUGGGGGAGAGGAGCUGCAAGCGGCCAUUUCCAUUCUCUUCCUUCUGCUUCUCUGGUGGAUAAUUCCUGCCGGCCAUUUAACGCUCAAGCGGGAGUACUGGGAAAGGAAGAGCACGGUCCCUUUAAAUGAUACGGAAGCGGGGAAGGAAAGUGCUGGGUAGAGGAGGGCAGGGUCCCUGGCUAGGCCUCUAGCCCCAGGGACCUAGGUGAGGACCGGCACUCCUGCUUUUCCCAGACACCCUGGCCCGCCACGCCCCCACCCUGGGCCUAUAAAAAACCCAAGACCCUAGCAAGGCAGAGACAGAAGCUGCUGGAGGGCCAGAGGAACGCCUCAGUGGAAGAAGACAAGCGGCUGGUCACGGAGAGCACGUCAGCAGAAGAACACACCUACAGACGCCGGCUCGCCCGCCGGCUCCCCGGCAGGCCAUCGACCGGUGGGACGAGGUGGAGUUAGGCCCGGGCAGUAGGAGGACAGCCCGGGCACCCAGCAGCCCAACUCCAGGGGAAAGCCAUCUCCCUUCUGGAGCUGCCCAGCUCCAGGGGAAAACCAUCUCCUUUCUGACGCCCCUAUCGGUGGAGAGUUACUUCCACUCAAGACAAUUUUGCAGUCAUUCUCCAAGCCCACGUGUGAUCCGAGUCUUCCGGUACACCAGGGCAAGAACCCGGGAUACAGAAAGCCCUCUGGCCUUAUGACAGGGUAGAGGGUCUCAUUGAGCUAUAGACGAUGAACUAAGAGCGCACUCUGGAACACACGCCCUCUGGGACUUCAGCUGUAAACAUCCACCCCUAGACACUGCCAUGGGGUCGGAGCCCCACAACCUGCCCAUCUGUAUGCCCCGCUAGAGGUUUGAGCAACGGGGCACUGAAGAAGCGAGCACACCUCAUGGAGUUACACUCUUGUUGUCCAAGCUGGAGUGCAAUGGCAUGAUCUCAGCUCACCUCCAUCUCCACCUCCACCUCCUGGGUUCAAGCGAUUCUCCUGCCUCAGCCUCCCGAGUAGCUGGGAUUACAGAGUCUGGCUGGCCUGGAACGUGCCAUGACUGUAGAAUACGAUAGGAGGGAGACUGUACCAGCUCCAAGCCAGCUUUUCUGAUACCUGCAGCUUCUGGUUCCUCUGGAGGAGAAGUCAGCCACUAGGUAAGAAGUCAACUCACACUGAGGCCGCCAUGCAGGGAGGAAGCCUAAGCCAGCCCAGUGGGGAGGCCACAUGGUGGACAACUGAGGAACCCAGUGGGCAAAUUGAGACCCCAGACAUGAAUCCAGGUGAGUCAUCCCAGUCCUUCGUAUGAUUGCAGCCACAGCUCCCAUUAUUAUGGCUCAGAGAUGAUCCAUAUCUCCUCUCCCCUGAGCAAAUUCUCACCCAAAGAAUCAUGAGGAACUAAAAUGAUUGUUCUUUCAUGUUACUAUGUUUAGAGGUGGUUUGUUCCAUUACAAUAGACAACUGAAGCAAGCAUGCAGAACCUUACUUUCCAGAAAUGGAGAAGGACAGUGGAGGGUUUGUGUGGAUGAGAAGCAAGCACAAGUAUUUCUGUCACCUUUGUGGCUGAAAAGUAUUGCAGGUGCAAUUUAAAAAGCCCCGUGGAUAAACAGCUCAUGUAGGUCCAAGUCCAGGCUUUGAAUGCAUUACGUUUCCCUUGUUGGAAGCA